AAAAUAGCCAUCCUGCUUAAAAGUAAUUGAAUUUUUUGAGAACCAGUGGCCAGUUACAAUGUGUUACAGUCAACCAGCGUGGGGAUCCAAGAGUGGCAUGCAACCCCAGGGUGAUUGGUGGCUUAAGGGUGCUCCCUCUGUCUUUUAAAAUUCUUAACUUUGUUUUUCAACUUUGCCUAUUUUUAUAUAGAUUUUUAUGGUGUUUAUUUGCAAAACACAAAAGGUAUUUAGAUGGCAUGUACAUUUGAUAAAUAAAGAAACCAGGACUGGAUAGUUUCAAGUAUGGUUUGCCAAAUUAUCUCUUGUCAAAAUGAUCAUGCAUGUAUUUUUGUAUGAGAAAUAUGUCAUAUCAUAGAAGAAGUUUUGGGAAAACCCAAUAAAUAUUCUGUAUGUAACCCUAUUUCUCCUGCAGAUACUGGAGAGCAAGUCCUGGUUGAUAUAGAAGAGAAGACCAAUAGAGAGAUAUCAGAGCAUAUUAAGAAAAUUCUUGGUAAAAGCGAAGAAACAAUCCGGAUAGACGAAGAAAAAAAGAGGAAAUGGCAUCCUGCAACAUUUGGUUGCAAAAAAUACCACUUACGGGAAUGUAUGUGUGAAAUUGACGGCCAGAUUCCCUGUCCUGGAAAAGUGCCACUACCGAAAGAGAUGACUGGCAAAUAUAAAAACGCUAUGAAAGAUACUUCCUAAGCCACUUUUGCACCAAACUUUUCCACAAGGAAUUAAAAGAUUGCAGAGAAAUAAGAAACUGACUGAUUAGUGGCAUGAUGAGAAAGAAUGUAGUGUUGUAUGAGACUUAUGCCAGAAAAGUAGAUGGGCUAAUUCUUUCACUGCUGUACACUGAGUAGUAAAUGUUUUAUAAAUGCUUUUUAAAAAAAUAAUAAUAAUUAAAGAGCCAGUGUUGGGUCAUAUUGAU